AUUAUAAAUUUUUUGUUUGUUUUAUUUUUAUAAUAAGUCGCUUCCGUUUAGGUAAGAAGUGCAAGCACCGACAAGGCACACGUUCCCAGCACUGAGACAUCAAACGGAAACGGGAGUUGAAGUCGAGACACGUACUUUACAUUGCUGGGGCGUACGGGCGAUAAUCUACCAGGAGAAUGCAUGCAUAUAUGUAGCAGCGGUAGUAACAGAAGAAGCGAUGGUAAAAUACCAAAAAGGCACUCGAAUCGGCGCAAAAUCACCGGAUGUCACUAUACAACUCCCAUGUAGAAUCGCUCGCUGAUUCCUAAAAUCGGUUCUUUCCCGAUGGACAAGUUUUUAAGACAUUUGUAAUUUGCCGUUAUUCAGCUAAAAAAAAAAAAAGUGGUUCCACUUAAUCACGUAUAUCUUACGAACCAGUUGGACAAUCUUAAUAUUAAACUAGCGUUCCCGGCGCGCUUUGCUAUACCCUACACUUUU